rnacentral:rRNA from 1 species
GUUGACCUCGGAUCAGGUAGGGAUACCCGCUGAACUUAAGCAUAUCAAUAAGCGGAGGAAAAGAAACCAACAGGGAUUGCUCUAGUAACGGCGAGUGAAGCAGCAAUAGCUCAAAUUUGAAAUCUGGCGUCUUCGACGUCCGAGUUGUAAUUUGUAGAGGAUGCUUCUGAGUGGCCACCGACCUAAGUUCCUUGGAACAGGACGUCAUAGAGG